rnacentral:rRNA from 1 species
CCUACGGGUGGCAGCAGUGGGGAAUAUUGGGCAAUGGACGCAAGUCUGACCCAGUAACGCCGCGUGCAGGAAGAAGGCUUUCGGGUUGUAAACUUCUUUUGACAGGGAAGAGAAGAAGCCGUUACCUGUCGAUUAAGUCCUGGCUAACUACGUGCCAGCAGCCGCGGUAAUACGAAGGUGGCAAGUGUUAUCCGGAUUUAUUGGGUGUAAAGGUCGUGUAGCGGGGUAGACAAGUCAGUUGUGAAAGCCUGCGGCUUAACCGCGGAACUGCAUUUGAAACUAUUGCGCUUGAGUAUUGGAGAGGAAAGCGGAAUUCCUAGUGUAGCGGUGAAAUGCGUAGAUAUUAGGAGGAACACCAGUGGCGAAGGCGAUUUGCUGGACAGCAACUGACGUUGAGGCACGAAAGCGUGGGGAGCAAACAGGAUUAGAUACCCGAGUAGUC